CUCCUUUGACGUUAGCGGCGGACGGGUUAGUAACACGUGGGUAACCUACCUAUAAGACUGGGAUAACUUCGGGAAACCGGAGCUAAUACCGGAUAAUAUUUCGAACCGCAUGGUUCAUAGUGAAAGAUGGUUUUGCUAUCACUUAUAGAUGGACCCGCGCCGUAUUAGCUAGUUGGUAAGGUAACGGCUUACCAAGGCGACGAUACGUAGCCGACCUGAGAGGGUGAUCGGCCACACUGGAACUGAGACACGGUCCAGACUCCUACGGGAGGCAGCAGCC
rnacentral:rRNA from 1 species